GAUGAAGAACGUAGCGAAAUGCGAUAAGUAAUGUGAAUUGCAGAAUUCAGUGAAUCAUCGAAUCUUUGAACGCACCUUGCGCCCUUUGGCUAUUCCGAAGGGCAUGCCUGUUUGAGUAUCAUGAACACCUCAACCCUCAUGGUUUGCCAUGUGGGCUUGGACCUUGGGGGUCUUGCUGGAUUGUAGUCAGCUCCCCUUAAAUGAAUCAGCUUGCCAGUGUCUGGUGGCAUCACAGGUGUGAUAAUUAUCUACGCUUGUUGUUUUACAUCAGGUAACCUUCAGAGAUGGGGGUUCACUGGGGCUUACAUAAGGUCUCUCCUCAGUGAGGACAGCUCUUUGAAUGUUUGAUCUCAAAUCAGGUAGGACUACCCGCUGAACUUAAGCAUAUCAAUAAGCGGAGGA
rnacentral:misc_RNA from 1 species